AGGUUGAAUGAUGAAAAGUGAUAUUUACUGAUUUCAGAAGGAAGAGAAGACAUAAAUUCACAGAAGGAGGAACUGUCAAACACCAAGAAUUCCACCAUCACUUUUGGGCCCCAUCAAGACAAAGGCUAACAAAAGAGGGAGGCUAAAAGACCAACUCUAGUUUACAAUUCCAGCUUUCAAACUCAUCAUUCAUCAACUGAAGGAGGGUUUUUCAAAAUAAAAAACCACAGAUCAGGCAGCACAGCAGCACUGAUAGCCUACAAAUUUCCCAGGAUGUGAGAAAGGGGCACCAAGAAUGACGAAUGGAUCCAAGAUGAACUGGCACAUGCCAGCAGACACACACGCCAGUUGCCUCACAGGU